GAUGAAGAACGUAGCAAAAUGCGAUAAGUAAUGUGAAUUGAAGAAUUCAGUGAAUCAUCGAAUCUUUGAACGCACAUUGCGCCCGCUGGUAUUCCGGCGGGCAUGCCUGUUCGAGCGUCAUUUCAACCCUCAAGCCCCCGGGUUUGGUGUUGGGGAUCGGCUCUGCCCUUCUGGGCGGUGCCGCCCCCGAAAUACAUUGGCGGUCUCGCUGCAGCCUCCAUUGCGUAGUAGCUAACACCUCGCAACUGGAACGCGGCGCGGCCAUGCCGUAAAACCCCAACUUCUGAAUGUUGACCUCGGAUCAGGUAGGAAUACCCGCUGAACUUAAGCAUAUCAAUAAGCGGAGGA
rnacentral:misc_RNA from 1 species